GCCGGCAUUGCAGAGUGGUUAAUGCGGUAGUCACAUUUUUGCUGCCAAAAAGCGGCAGAAGCGCUGCACUCGAAAACUACUGCCCUCCGGGGCUCGCAGGUUCAAAUCCUGCUGCCGGCG
rnacentral:tRNA from 1 species